GAACGAGAAAGUGGAGCAAUCCAUGAGUAAAGUGGCGACCGGGUGAGUAACACGUGACUAACCUACCUCCGAGUGGGGAAUAACUCCGGGAAACCGGGGCUAAUACCGCAUAACAUCGCAAGAUCAAAGCAGCAAUGCGCUUGGAGAGGGGGUCGCGGCUGAUUAGCUAGUUGGCGGGGUAACGGCCCACCAAGGCGAAGAUCGGUAUCCGGCCUGAGAGGGCGCACGGACACACUGGAACUGAAACACGGUCCAGACUCCUACGGGAGGCAGCAGUGGGGAAUUUUUCGCAAUGGGGGCAACCCUGACGAAGCAACGCCGCGUGGGUGAUGAAGUCUCUUGGGACGUAAAACCCUUUCGACGGGGACGAAACCGCAAGGUUGACGGUACCCGUAGAAGAAGCCCCGGCUAACUCCGUG
rnacentral:rRNA from 1 species